CAAAGAUUUAAUAGCAGCAAGUAGUAAAAUGGUCUCACAUAUAAGACUUCAUUAUUUUUACAAAAUAUACUACUGUCAUCUACUUGCACAUUAUGAAGUGUUAUCAUAAAACAAAUCUCUUACAUUCAUUAGUAUGAAUUAGUGAAUUUCUACUGUCUGUUAAAGACAAUUCUUGCAAUUCUGAAUCUUAAAGACCUAAACCUCAUCACCAUUGUGCCUGAAACCAAACAAUGCUUGAAAAAUACAUCAAACAAAUGCUGAUACUCCAGUGCAUAAGGCCCAUAGCAUUUCCUUGUAUUCCCAGGAAGCUCUCACAGAGAGACAUCAGUUAUAAUAUAGCAGUAAUGGCACUGAAGAUUUAUCAUAGUUUUAUCCAUAAGUAGACCUAAAUGGCACAAAAUCAAAAUAACCACAAGGUCUUUCCUUGCCUGGCACAACAAAGACAAAACAAAAUAACCACUCUCCUGUUGUUUUGACAGAAGGGAAGGUACCAAGAUGGGGCAGGAGACCCUUCAAGAGGUUGGUCUGCCCAGGACCUUGCUGUUGGAAUACAAACCAUUCAGCAGUGUAUACUGAGCUGCUGGAACAGACUGCUGCUCAAAAAGAGGUGCCUCAGCUGCACAUCAGCAGCGAUGUGAAGGAGAAGCCCUCCUCAGGGCUCUUUGCUGGUGCCUGCCAGUGGAACAGAAGGCAGCUGUCAGAACACAAAGUCCUAGGAAAAUAGGAGGUUCAAGGUGUUACCCUUCUCAGCCCACUGAGCCAGACACGGCAAGCUGAUCUAUUCACUGCAUGACUCUCUCCUCGCAGGAGAUUCCUGCAGCAUUUGGUUUGGUACCCAUUGUUGGUUUUCCCCCCCCUUCCUCCUUCUGAUAAAAUUUUCCAGGGUUGCUUUCAACCCAAAUUCCUGAACAGUUUUGGAAUUAUUAAAUAUUUUUCUUGUUGGGUUUGCUCAGUAUUUUUGUCAGUUUCUCAUUCAUUAGAAACCUGCAUUCCAUUUAUGGAGCAGCAUGUACAAAAUUCAAACAAAUUUUCUCCCAAAUGAAAAGAAAAUUCUUUUAUUAAGCUGAUAAACCAGCUAUGCUCAAAUAUGCAAGACAGAUUUGAUCGUAGAAAUCAAUAGUAUCUCUUCUGGGAGUUAUGAAGGACCAAAUACAAGCUCUUCCUUCAUAACUAGAGCUAAAAUACCAUUUUCCUGUUUCUUACAUAGUUCAGAUAAACAGCUGAAAUAUUUCUCCCUAGUCACACUUUAUAGAAACUUUUGUAAUAUAAUUUAAAAAAGGUGUGGAGGUAAGACAGUGCCAAAGAGUGGCUAACACAGACCACUGCCCAUCACAGCUUUAGCAGCACACUGCACACAAUCUUCUUUCCACCAGCACUCAGGGACUGCCAAAUGACCUGGGGGCUUCCAUACACAUGGCAAAGGCAACCUGGGCCAG
rnacentral:lncRNA from 1 species